UUUACCUACGGGGGGCAGCAGUGGGGAAUAUUGCACAAUGGGGGAAACCCUGAUGCAGCAAUGCCGCGUGGGUGAAGAAGCACUCCGGUGCGUAAAGCCCUGUCAGCAGGGAAGAAAAUGACAGUACCUGACCAAGAAGCCCCGGCUAACUACGUGCCAGCAGCCGCGGUAAUACGUAGGGGGCAAGCGUUAUCCGGAUUUACUGGGUGUAAAGGGAGCGUAGACGGCCAGACAAGUCAGAAGUGAAAACCCGCGGCUCAACUGCGGGAGUGCUUU
rnacentral:rRNA from 1 species